GGAAAAGCUGUUCAUCAACGGUGAUAUAUAGACCAGGGUUGUAGGACGUGAUGCAAUUGGUGACAAAGAUUUUAUCCACCUCAGCACAAAAGGAAUUAGCAGCCCUCCCUCCCCAACACAUACAAACAAGCCACCAGCAACCAUUCACACACACACACACACACCCAACCCCCCUGCAGAUUGCUCAGCAUUCUCUUCAUGACCGCAAACCCACUUUGCUUUACCGUCACUCAGUUCAGAUCCAAUUGCCUUCCCACUCUCCUGGCUUUGUGGCAGUUGGUGGCUGGACCCUGAUGGAAACAUUGUGUCCUGUUGAGUGUUUCAUAAUGAGUGGAAGUCAGUGGGAGCCAUGAUGUGGCAUGGAGAAAGACGUAGGUGUCUGCAUCCCAGGAGGAAUGAUCUACACUGUUGGCAGGCAAGAGUGCGUGUUACCUGUGUCAGCACUGUGGAAAAUGCAGUUCAUGGUGAGCUGACCUUCUCACGGCUACGCACCACAGAUCUGUCAAAUCCUAAGCUGAGACUGAUGUACCCACAGCAUGCUGGCUUGAAUAAAGCCCCCUUCAGAAAAAAAUCUAUAGAUGAUUUCAUUGUAAUCUGAAGUUGCUUUUCAAAUUAAA